UACGGGGGUGGCGAGCGUUACUCGGAUUUAUUGGGUGUAAAGGGCAGGUAGGUGGUUUUGCAAGUCGAGGGUGAAAUCUCCCAACUUAAUUGGGAAACUGCCCUCGAUACUACAUGACUUGAGUGUGGAAGAGGAGAACGGAAUUCCCGGUGUAAGGGUGAAAUCUGUAGAUAUCGGGAGGAACACCAGUGGCGAAGGCGGUUCUCUGGUCCACUACUGACACUGAGCUGCGAAAGCUAGGGGAG
rnacentral:rRNA from 1 species